rnacentral:rRNA from 1 species
AAAUUGAAGAGUUUGAUCAUGGCUCAGAUUGAACGCUGGCGGCAGGCCUAACACAUGCAAGUCGAACGGUAACAGGAAGCAGCUUGCUGCUUCGCUGACGAGUGGCGGACGGGUGAGUAAUGUCUGGGAAACUGCCUGAUGGAGGGGGAUAACUACUGGAAACGGUGGCUAAUACCGCAUAACGUCGCAAGACCAAAGAGGGGGACCUUCGGGCCUCUUGCCAUCAGAUGUGCCCAGAUGGGAUUAGCUAGUUGGUGAGGUAACGGCUCACCAAGGCGACGAUCCCUAGCUGGUCUGAGAGGAUGACCAGCCACACUGGAACUGAGACACGGUCCAGACUCCUACGGGAGGCAGCAGUGGGGAAUAUUGCACAAUGGGCGCAAGCCUGAUGCAGCCAUGCCGCGUGUAUGAAGAAGGCCUUCGGGUUGUAAAGUACUUUCAGCGGGGAGGAAGGUGUUGUGGUUAAUAACCGCAGCAAUUGACGUUACCCGCAGAAGAAGCACCGGCUAACUCCGUGCCAGCAGCCGCGGUAAUACGGAGGGUGCAAGCGUUAAUCGGAAUUACUGGGCGUAAAGCGCACGCAGGCGGUCUGUCAAGUCGGAUGUGAAAUCCCCGGGCUCAACCUGGGAACUGCAUUCGAAACUGGCAGGCUUGAGUCUUGUAGAGGGGGGUAGAAUUCCAGGUGUAGCGGUGAAAUGCGUAGAGAUCUGGAGGAAUACCGGUGGCGAAGGCGGCCCCCUGGACAAAGACUGACGCUCAGGUGCGAAAGCGUGGGGAGCAAACAGGAUUAGAUACCCUGGUAGUCCACGCCGUAAACGAUGUCUACUUGGAGGUUGUGCCCUUGAGGCGUGGCUUCCGGAGCUAACGCGUUAAGUAGACCGCCUGGGGAGUACGGCCGCAAGGUUAAAACUCAAAUGAAUUGACGGGGGCCCGCACAAGCGGUGGAGCAUGUGGUUUAAUUCGAUGCAACGCGAAGAACCUUACCUGGUCUUGACAUCCACGGAAAUUUUCAGAGAUGAGAAUGUGCCUUCGGGAACCGUGAGAC